AGUGAACGCUGGCGGUAGGCCUAACACAUGCAAGUCGAACGGCAGCACAGUAAGAGCUUGCUCUUACGGGUGGCGAGUGGCGGACGGGUGAGGAAUACAUCGGAAUCUACUUUUUCGUGGGGGAUAACGUAGGGAAACUUACGCUAAUAACGCAUACGACCUACGGGUGAAAGCAGGGGUUCUUCGGACCUUGCGCGAUUGUAUGAGCCGAUGUCGGAUUAGCUAGUUGGCGGGGUAAAGGCCCAGCAAGGCGACGAUCCGUAGCGGGUCUGAGAGGAUGAUCACCCACACGGGCACUGAGACACGGUCCAGACUCCUACGGGAGGCCGCAGUGGAGAAUAUUAGACGAUGGGGGAAAGCCUGAUACAGCCAUACCGCGUGGGUGAAGAAGGCCUUCGGGUUGUAAAGCCCUUUUGUUGGGAAAGAAAAGCAGCAGGUUAAUACCCCGCGGUUCUGACGGUACCCAAAGAAUAAGCACCGGCUAACUUCGUG
rnacentral:rRNA from 1 species